rnacentral:rRNA from 1 species
CCUACGGGGUGCAGCAGUGGGGGAUAUUGCACAAUGGGGGAAACCCUGAUGCAGCGACGCCGCGUGGGUGAAGAAGCGCCUCGGCGCGUAAAGCCCUGUCAGCAGGGAAGAAAAUGACGGUACCUGAAGAAGAAGCCCCGGCUAACUACGUGCCAGCAGCCGCGGUAAUACGUAGGGGGCAAGCGUUAUCCGGAUUUACUGGGUGUAAAGGGGGCGCAGACGGCGAUGCAAGCCAGGAGUGGAAGCCCGGGGCCCAACCCCGGGACUGCUCUUGGAACUGCGUGGGUAGAGUGCAGGAGGGGCAGGCGGAAUUCCUGGUGUAGCGGUGAAAUGCGUAGAUAUCAGGAGGAACACCGGUGGCGAAGGCGGCCUGCUGGACUGCAACUGACGUUGAGGCCCGAAAGCGUGGGGAGCAAACAGGAUUAGAUACCCCAGUAGUC